CCUACGGGAGGCAGCAGUGAGGAAUAUUGGUCAAUGGGCGCGAGCCUGAACCAGCCAAGUAGCGUGAAGGAUGACUGCCCUACGGGUUGUAAACUUCUUUUGUCAGGGAGUAAAGUGAGGCACGUGUGCCUUUUUGUAUGUACUUUAUGAAUAAGCAUCGGCUAACUCCGUGCCAGCAGCCGCGGUAAUACGGUGGAUCCGAGCGUUAUCCGGAUUUAUUGGGUUUAAAGGGAGCGUAGAUGGGUUGUUAAGUCAGUUGUGAAAGUUUGCGGCUAAACCGUAAAAUUGCAAUUGAUACUGGCAGUCUUGAGUACGGUAGAGGUAGGCGGAAUUCGUGGUGUAGCGGUGAAAUGCGUAGAUAUCACGAAGAACUCCGAUUGCGAAGGCAGCUUACUAGACUGCAACUGACAUUGAUGCUCGAAAGUGUGGGUAUCAAACAGGAUUAGAUACCCGGGUAGUC
rnacentral:rRNA from 1 species